ACCGGCGAUUUCCGAAUGGGGAAACCCAGUGUGACUCGUCACACUAUCAUUAACUGAAUCCAUAGGUUAAUGAGGCGAACCGGGGGAACUGAAACAUCUAAGUACCCCGAGGAAAAGAAAUCAACCGAGAUUCCCCCAGUAGCGGCGAGCGAACGGGGAGGAGCCCAGAGCCUGAAUCAGCAUGUGUGUUAGUGGAAGCGUCUGGAAAGGCGCGCGAUACAGGGUGACAGCCCCGUACACAAAAGCGCACAUGCUGUGAGCUCGAUGAGUAGGGCGGGACACGUGGUAUCCUGUCUGAAUAUGGGGGGACCAUCCUCCAAGGCUAAAUACUCCUGACUGACCGAUAGUGAACCAGUACCGUGAGGGAAAGGCGAAAAGAACCCCGGCGAGGGGAGUGAAAAAGAACCUGAAACCGUGUACGUACAAGCAGUGGGAGCACCCUUUGGGGUGUGACUGCGUACCUUUUGUAUAAUGGGUCAGCGACUUAUAUUCUGUAGCAAGGUUAACCGWAUAGGGGAGCCGSAGGGAAACCGAGUCUUAACCGGGCGUUAAGUUGCAGGGUAUAGACCCGAAACCCGGUGAUCUAGCCAUGGGCAGGUUGAAGGUUGGGUAACACUAACUGGAGGACCGAACCGACUAAUGUUGAAAAAUUAGCGGAUGACCUGUGGCUGGGGGUGAAAGGCCAAUCAAACCGGGAG
rnacentral:rRNA from 1 species